GGCCUUAUAGUCAUUAAUGAUGUUAGACUGCAAUUCUAAAGGAGUAAAGUAUAUAAUUUACUAAGGCUU
rnacentral:tRNA from 1 species